GCCUGCUAGACCACUUUAAUGUACCCUUUCCAUCUCAAGCACAGGAACGAUUCCCUUCUGGAAUGUUCCUCCUUCUGAGGCUUUGAGAAGGCUCGUCUGGGGAGUGGAUGGACUCCCCACGUGUGGGUUGGAUCCCAUCCGAACCUUGAUUCCCACACCCGCCUGCUGCCAGACCUCGUCUGCCAAUUGUGGCUGUGCGGAGCCCGAGGGGUGGGUGUCUCCCUGGAGAGCUUCUGACAGACAUCUGCACCGAGAAAUCCAACUCCCAGCCUCCUUGCGGGUGGUCUCAGAUCUGCCAAGCCACCAGGCGUGAGGCUGGCAAGGGCAGAAGAAAAGCUGCCGAAUCAGCUCUGGAAUCCCACAGCUGACCCCGCCUCUGGUUCUGCAGGAGAGGAGCCCAGCUUUGCUUUGCGGUCAAAACUGCCUCUUCUGUUUUCUGCACCAACCAAGAUGCCAUCUGAGACCGACACCCUCCAAUUCCUGUGAUAAAUAAAGGAGUGAUAAUAACGAUAA